GUGGGUGUAGCUCAGUCGGUAGAGCCAUAGGCGCGCAGGUUCGAGUCCUGCCACCCAUA
rnacentral:tRNA from 1 species